GAGGCCGGAGAAAGCGGGCGGCGGGGUGGGGCAGAGGGGAGGAGGGCUGGGAGGAUCCCUGCGCGCGCUCGCCCGCCGGCCGGUCGGGGCCUCGCCCAGCUCCCCUGGGCGCGCGGCUGGAGCGGUGGCCAGGAGGCUCUGAGUGUGAGCAGCUUGAGCCACCACCCCCCGGUGCCUCUGAACCUGCAGUCGCGCCGCCCCGCCCCAGGGCUGCCCGGCCAGCACCCCCAGGGCCAGACCUGUGCCGCCUCUGGCUCAGACACCUGCCGCCCACCAGGCCUCCGCUCCUCCCUUCCUAGCCUUUUGUUUCUGGAACCCCGAGUCCUUCUGAUGCACGAGGCUCGACUGCCAUCUGAUCUCAGGCAGGAACUGUCCACACUGGUGGCUGCUGGUGGCCUGGCCGACCGGAUCCUCUGCGUCCUCUUCGAGUAGCCAUCAUGGUGGGCGUGAUCCGGUUCCUUUUCCGGUCCCACUCCCCUGUCCAACAGGCCUUUGCCUGCUCUCUUGUGGUGCUCUGCAUCACUCUAGAACAUAAAAAUUGUCAUUCCCUGUGGCCACAGCUGCCAGUGUUUUUCCCAUUUCUGCCUCUGGUUUUGCCAGCAAUCCGAGGGAGCUCGCCUCACAUGCACCCUAUUCAUGGCCAACUCCUUCUUUGCUCCCACUCUCCUGUGGACACUCAUCUGCUUUUCCUGAAUGGACGCGGAGCGCCAUGGCGCAGGAUUGCAAGAGUGUCCUUGGGGAGUCAUAGGUUCAGAGUGGGGAAGGGACUGUACAUGGCCGGGCUGCAGAUGGGGCGACCAACAUGGACUAAUUUAUCAGGAAACAGGUGAGAAAUGACGGUGGCCUGCAGAAGCGUGUGAUGUUGGGCUUGUGGACAAAUGAACGAUGUUAAGUUUAUUUAACAGGAUUGGUGGAAGUUACAAAGUGGAUGAAUGCACAAAUGAGAACAAUUAAAGAGUAAUCAAGAUAUUUUAAGUGAGCAGCUCACUGCCAGGACAGACAAUAGUGAAUGCGGAGCAUUGUUCCAGAUUUUACAGCCUAGUAAAAUUCCCCAAUGAAAACUCGCAAAGAAAACCAACUCCCAGUGGCCAGGCUUCCGUUUUCCUAAGCUAAGAAAAAUAUGGUAAAUGCAUUAUCUCAAAAUUAAGAAGUCUUUUUGAGUUGAAAGCCUUUAACUUAAUGGAAUGCUCAUUAUGUUGACCUGAUUGUUCUUAUUCACCACUAACCACCCUGAGUCUGUAAACAAUUAGAAAAAUGAAUUCAGGAUGGGACUCUCCACGGUGUCAUGACCUGACAGAGGCCAUAAGCUUCAGGGAGUAUCUGAGAAGCAAGCGAGAAAAGAGGUUGGAAUGAGUUCCACGUGGAAGAGAAAUCAUUGAUAAAGGCACUCAGGCGGUGCUUGGCCUUGCUUUCCUGGGUCCUGAGUCCUCUGAAGGAACCUCCCUGGUUUACAUCGUGGCAUGCAUUCCAAGGCCGCUCACCACACCUUGGCUGAGCACCUCCUGCCUUUGUGCCAGCCUCGGCCCUUUCUCUGCGGGUUUUAUGUGCUAGUGAAUGAAUCCCCAAAGCUGCAGCCCCCCACCAAAGUCAGAGCAUGCAGGAGCCUGAAGCUUAGCACUUCUGAUUCUUGCUCUAGCAGUAAAAUGGCAGUUGGGCAAAAAAAUUGGAAUGGCCAAACCCAAACAUUGGCAUAACCCGAGAGGCCCCCCAGACACUACAAUUCAAACCCCAAAGCCCACCCCAAACCUCCUCCACAUGUACUUACUGUUGCUAGUAAUUAUAUCCUCAAGGCUCCUGGACUUUCAGUUUACCGGUCCCCCAAACCUCAGGCCCUCCAGCCCACCCUGUUUUGAAGGGGCCGCAUCUAGACGUUACCACGGGGACCCACGAAAUGAAGGGCACAGGCUCCCAAGUGGGAAGAGGAAUAGGAGGGGUCAUCAGACCUGGUUUCUUCUUCCAAACUCCGCUACUGAGUAGGUGACCCCCUUCCUGGGGACACUGAGUGGCAGAGGGGAUGGAGAUGAGCCCCAGAGCUCCCCUCAGAGUGGAGAGAGGGCACGGAGCAUGCUCUUUAACAGUAUGGGAAAGAGUUCAAAAAUGCUCUUAUUUGAAGGAGUUUCUUGUUAAACAUGCCCCGUUCAUGGAAUUUGUCCUUGUACCAGCACAUUCAUGACAAUAACAGGGCAGUGACAAAAAGCAUUGCAUGAGGCUGUCACUCCUGCGGGACCUGGGAAGUUGUCCCUAGUAAAUUUUAGGAAAAACAGUAAUAGUGUGAGUCCUGAGGAGGCACCAGGAGAGAAGAAAAUAUCCAGAAUAUUGCUUUUCGAACAACACGUGGGGAAGAGCAUCCUCUUCUUCCCAAACUGGAGCAGACGCAUUUUUAAUGAAUUAAGAAUGAAUUACUAGAAAAAAGAAAUGAAGUAGACAUAGGAUACAAGAUCCUUAUUUUUUGAAAUUAAUGAACUCAAGUGAUAUUACGUGAUGGUCGAAUUGCUUGGACAGCUUCCAGAUGCUCUUGGAAAUUUAGUCUGCAUUUGCCCAUCGCAGAGCAGUGAACAUCCGCCCAUCCCCGUUGCCUGGUCUGGGAAGCAGGUGUAGUCCAGCAGGGCAGGGAGCCUGAGGUCCACCUGUGGGCUGGCAUUUGCCAUCUGGGGCUGGCCUGGGGCCCACCUGAGUGCAGCCACCACCCCCACUGCUUUUCCUCUUGUUCCCCUUUUAUAAACAUCUGUUUUCUUCUUUUCUACUUUCCUUCCUUCCUUUCCUCCCAGUUCCCUUUCUUUUUCAAAUGUAACCACACAAUGAAUCCUUCAGUGAAUUCCUGAAAGGCAGCUCCAGCUUCUAGACUUAGGGUUGCCCUAUGUCCUUACUGCUGUGUCCAGUCUCUCUAUCAGGACCUUUCCAGCUGACCCGAUCUCUCUGGGCCUCAGUUUCCUUAUCCAUGGACAAGAGAGACAGCAGUGCCUUGCUCACGUGUUAGGGUUGGUUGUAAUGAUCUGAACACAGAGCACAGAAGAGCCCCUGCACCUCCCCUCCUCCCCCUGCGACCACAGGAAUGGAGGCCACUGUGGAGCAGAGUGUCCCCGAGGAAGAAGAUGGAAGGAUUUGAGCAAGUCAGACUGUCACUGGGCAGGACAGCAGGGGAAACAGUGCAAUGUGUUUCUGUUCCCUGAGUCAUGACAAGGUUGACUUGGAAUUAAAUGUCCAAACCACAGCAUUUUUUUCUCCCAAAUAUAUCACUGUUGUGAUCUGGUGUUUGCUUUUGCAGAGGAGAGCAAGUCUGGAAGCAAGUUUGGUUUUAUUUUCAUGGCAGCCUGUUUUGCUCUUUAGCCUGCGUCCUCCUAGGAGUAACCCACAUCUUGGUGUUUUUUCAGCACGUGUCUGGCUUGCAUUUUGUCGAUAAGUUUGCCUGGAAUAUCCUAAGUAUCAUUUUUUUUUUUUUUCAUCUUUGGAAAGAUCUAGAUACUUACGUGUUUAUUAUUUGGAAGAUAUGGUAUUACAUGAGUAGUGUUUAAAAUAGGUAAACGGAGUUUGGAUAACUGUUGACAUUACAGAACUACAAAGGUGAUUAUGGAAAAAGUCAGCAUAUAUGCAUAUGUAUGUAUAACUAAAUGAGGUUAAUAAAAAUAGUGGGUUUCAUAUUCUGCAUAAUAUUUUCAAGAAGCAGACAGGGAAGAAGGGGCAGAAAAGCAAAAUGAAAUUCUCCUGAAAUUCUAUCCUACAGAUGAGGGAAUCUGCAUGUUCUACUUUAUUCGUAACUUCGAAUAUCAGCGAACAAAGCUAAAAUUCUUUUGUAAAUACUGGUGGUAAAGAUAAGAAGAAUAUUUGAGGAGAGAAGAAUAAUGAGCUCUUGAAUAUGUAGAAAAAAACCCAGAGACUAGCAACAGACAAAUGAAAAUGAGAAAGCAUAGGUGUGACAAGAGAAGACAUAAAAAAUUUAUAAAUCCCUAAAACAGGUUAAAUUUGCUUAUUAUGAAACAAAAUCUUAAUACUUGAAACUAACAUAACAUGCUGUGUCCACUAUACAUAAAGAAAAAGAGACAAAAACCAAAGUCUUAGAUUCUGUUAAUGGAAAUAAAAUUCAAUCAUAUGCUCUUAAAAAGUACACAUAUACUGCAAAGGAAAACUGAAAUAUUAAAUUAACUAUUCAAUUAAUAUUAAAUUAAAUUAAAAUCUUUGUCAGGUAAAUAUAAUACGAUGGAGAAUGCCGGGAUAUGGCCAUGGGCAUGUUUCCUAACUCGAAGGAGACUUCAUUUUCCCGACCUUAUAGUGGAUGCAAUAAAGGUGAAACCUACUCCAUCCAGGUUGAUAGGAGGAUGAGGAUAUUACUCUGCCUGAGGUUAUUUGUGACUCGGAUCUGACCUCAUCUCCUCUAGCAGAUUUCUCUGAUUCAAAAGAACUCAUCUUCUCCUGGGAAUCUCUAAAUGCCUCCAUGCUUCAGCACCUAGGAGACCUUCCUUACAGGCUUCCCCCUGGCACUUCAGCCUGGCCUCUUGGGAAGUGAGCACGCCAUCACAGACUUCUGAAUUUCCACUAGACAGGUGCUUGCACACAGGGAAAGGAGACAAAGUUGCCAUCCACACAGAAACUUUGAAGAGCUUGGGCAGCCAGAGCAGGGCUGGUUUGAGGUGCUGAUCCACAGGCAAAGGUCCCCUAGGAGCCCAAGCCACUGGGGUGGGGCUGCAGGUGGGGCCAGGGCAGGGCAGGGGGGCAGGGCUGGAGGGGGGCCUCCUCUGAUCCUACACAGUCACCCAUCCCCUGAGCUGGGAGACGUGGGGCUCGGACCUCUGGGCAACGUGGCAGGGAAGCCGGGCUGUGUGGGGGUGGACCUGGUCCGGGGACAGUGUAUCGGGAGAAUCAAAACGAGCCCAGCCCCAAGGGAAGAUGAGGUGCUGAGGAAAAGAUGGGCAGGAGACCAUUUGGACUUCUGAGUAUUACAAGUUCAUUUAUUUAGACUGCUUUAACAAACAGUCCUUUCUAAUUUCUAAAAGCAAAUAUUACUAGAAACAGAAACAUUGUUUCUCUGUCAUUCUACACUGCACACCUUCUCCCCAGUUGACAAUUGGCUUUUAGUUUUUUCCAUGAUGUGUCAACCAUGCAGGUGAUCAGGCAUCUGUGUUUCCCUGCGUGGGGUUUGCUGUCUCCGCUCACUGCUCUUCCCCAGGGUCUCCUGCCCCCGUGGCGGGCCUGCCCCCCAGAGGAGUGUGGACAGGCGCUCCAUUAAUCCACGUCUUUGUGUCCUUUGGGAAGGUUUUGUAGUUUUGUUCAAAAAGGUGCUGCAUUUAAAUUCGGUGCCACUUACAAAUAUUGUUUUCCAUAACAUUUCUAAUAGUUACUUCUGAAAUAUAGAAGCAUAUAAUUCUUGUUCAUUUGUUUUUCUCAUCAGUCACCUUGAAUUGUUUGUGUGUGUGUGUGUGUGUUUGAAUCAGUAGACCAACUUAGUAUUUAUGAAUAAUGAUUGUUUGUUAAUAGAACUUUCUAUUAUUUGUGACAUAUUUCUCAGAUUUCUUCAAGUUUUGUAACAAUGGUUACUGCUUACAGAAAAAUGUGAAUUAUAAACUUGAUGGCAAAUAACCUUGCCUCAUUCCGGAUUUUAAUGGGAAUGACACCAUAGUUCUGAAUUAGCUAUGACAACAGCUAUGGAUUCCUCAGUCACCAAGUGAGUUUUUCAAGAGUAUAUAUGGAGGGGCGCCGGGGUGGCUCAGUUGUUAAGCGUCUGCCUUCGGCUCAGGUCAUGAUCCCAGGGUCCUGGGAUCGAGGCCCGCAUCAGGCUCCCUGCUCCGGGGGAAGCCGGCUUCUCCCUCUCCCACUCCCCCUGCUUGUGUUCCCUCUUUC